AGCAACAUAAGCGGAGGAAAAGGAACCAACAGGGAUUGCCCUAGUAACGGCGAGUGAAGCGGCAACAGCUCAAAUUUGAAAUCUGGCGUCUUUGGCGUCCGAGUUGUAAUUUGCAGAGGGCGCUUUGGCAUCGGCAGCGGUUCAAGUUCCUUGGAACAGGACGUCACAGAGGGUGAGAAUCCCGUACGUGAUCGCUAGCCUUUACCGUGUAAAGCCCCUUCGACGAGUCGAGUUGUUUGGGAAUGCAGCUCUAAAUGGGAGGUAAAUUUCUUCUAAAGCUAAAUACUGGCCAGAGACCGAUAGCGCACAAGUAGAGUGAUCGAAAGAUGAAAAGCACUUUGGAAAGAGAGUUAAAAAGCACGUGAAAUUGUUGAAAGGGAAGCGCUUGCAGCCAGACUUGCCUGUAGUUGCUCAUCCGGGUUUUUACCCGGUGCACUCUUCUAUAGGCAGGCCAGCAUCAGUUUGGGCGGUUGGAUAAAGGUCUCUGUCAUGUACCUCUCUUCGGGGAGAACUUAUAGGGGAGACGACAUGCAACCAGCCUGGACUGAGGUCCGCGCAUCUGCUAGGAUGCUGGCGUAAUGGCUGUAAGCGGCCCGUCUUGAAACACGGACCAAGGAGUCUAACAUCUAUGCGAGUGUUUGGGUGUCAAGCCCGAACGCGUAAUGAAAGUGAACGGAGGUGGGAACCUUUCGGGGUGCACCAUCGACCGAUCCUGAUGUCUUCGGAUGGAUUUGAGUAAGAGCAUAGCUGUUGGGACCCGAAAGAUGGUGAACUAUGCUUGAAUAGGGUGAAGCCAGAGGAAACUCUGGUGGAGGCUCGCAGCGGUUCUGACGUGCAAAUCGAUCGUCAAAUUUGGGCAUAGGGGCGAAAGACUAAUCGAACUUC
rnacentral:rRNA from 1 species